UUGUUACUUGAGGAUUAUAGCUGAUGAUAUUCAACAGCAAUUACUGAUGUUGUUUCCAAAUGUAGAAGCUCUAGUUUAAAAUUUAUAUGUGUGCUGGGAUCAAUUGGGUGGGAGGGAAGAUAUGUUGUCUUUGCUAAUUAUUGGAUGAGAUCCAGAAGCUUUUCUUCACAUGUAGGUUAGAUAAUACAUUCUUGUAUCACCCAAUCAUUCAUGCUAUUGUUUUACUGAGAUUAAGUUCAGAAUGAGGUAAAUAUUAGGAAGCAAAAGAAAUAGAGAUAAGAGGUAGCCCAGGUGGGGUUAAGGUUCAGUAGGUGAUUAGCAAGUACUUAUUUGUUUUUGUCUUCUUCGAGUUUCAAUUUCACUUUGAUCAGAAGUGAAAUUUAUCUUAUAUAAACCUUAUUCAUUGCCCAAUACCAUGAGCAGAUGAACACUUUCCCCCUGGGCCUCUUUAACAUCUACAAGCUAUUAAUGAAGCAAGAAAAACAUGUUCAUAAACUUAAAAGACAAUCUUUUUGAAAAAGGAAAAAAUAUUGGAGGUGAUAGAUAUGGAAGGAAAGAUAGUGAUAUGCUUGAAGGGAAUGAAAGUCAUUAAGUACUAAGGGAGAUUCGAAAAAACAUAUGCGCACAUUUUUUAAAGAUAAACAAUCAAAUAUGGCAGGCUUUUAAGCACCUUGUAGAGGAAAAGGUCAACUUUCCUUGAGUUCUAGCAUGGACAUGCUUAAAGAGAAGGAUUAAACACUGAGGGAGAAGUGAAAAAAUAUAUAUGCCAGUUGUUUAAGGAUCAAAUAAUCAAAUACGGUAGGUGUUUUUGAACACUUUGUAGGGGAAAAUCUCAACUUCCCCUAAAGGUUUAAGCGAACAAGUCCAGGGUUCCAUACUGGUCAGAACUGGGUUAGUACAAUAUGAUUUCAUAUCGUAAUAGAGAUAGAGAGAGAGAGAGGUGGAGGGAGGGAGGGAGGUAGUGCAUGCCCAAGUUGGUGGCGAACAUGGUGGGGACCUGGUUGACGAUGAC
rnacentral:lncRNA from 1 species